rnacentral:rRNA from 1 species
UACGUAGGGGGCAAGCGUUGUCCGGAUUUAUUGGGUUUAAAGGGUGCGUAGGCGGCCCUGUAAGUCAGUGCUGAAAUAUCCCGGCUUAACCGGGAGGGUGGCAUUGAUACUGCGGGGCUAGAGUACAGAUGAGGUAGGCGGAAUUGACGGUGUAGCGGUGAAAUGCUUAGAUAUCGUCAAGAACACCGAUAGUGAAGACAGCUUACCAAGCUUCAACUGACGCUGAGGCACGAAAGUGUGGGGAUCAAACAGG